AAUCGUAAGAUGACGUAUACGGUGUGACGCCUGCCCGGUGCCGGAAGGUUAAUUGAUGGGGUUAGACUUCGGUCGAAGCUCUUGAUCGAAGCCCCGGUAAACGGCGGCCGUAACUAUAACGGUCCUAAGGUAGCGAAAUUCCUUGUCGGGUAAGUUCCGACCUGCACGAAUGGCGUAAUGAUGGCCACGCUGUCUCCACCCGAGACUCAGUGAAAUUGAAAUCGCUGUGAAGAUGCAGUGUACCCGCGGCUAGACGGAAAGACCCCGUGAACCUUUACUACAGCUUGGCACUGAACAUUGACCCUACAUGUGUAGGAUAGGUGGGAGGCUUUGAAGCACGUACGCCAGUAUGUGUGGAGCCGUCCUUGAAAUACCACCCUUGUAGUGUUGAUGUUCUAACGUCGACCCCUUAUCGGGGUUGCGGACAGUGCCUGGUGGGUAGUUUGACUGGGGCGGUCUCCUCCCAAAGAGUAACGGAGGAGCACGAAGGUGGGCUAAUCACGGUUGGACAUCGUGAGGUUAGUGCAAUGGCAUAAGCCCGCUUGACUGCGAGAAUGACAAUUCGAGCAGGUGCGAAAGCAGGUCAUAGUGAUCCGGUGGUUCUGAAUGGAAGGGCCAUCGCUCAACGGAUAAAAGGUACUCCGGGGAUAACAGGCUGAUACCGCCCAAGAGUUCAUAUCGACGGCGGUGUUUGGCACCUCGAUGUCGGCUCAUCACAUCCUGGGGCUGAAGUCGGUCCCAAGGGUAUGGCUGUUCGCCAUUUAAAGUGGUACGCGAGCUGGGUUUAGAACGUCGUGAGACAGUUCGGUCCCUAUCUGCCGUGGGCGUUGGAAGAUUGAAGGGGGCUGCUCCUAGUACGAGAGGACCGGAGUGGACGAACCUCUGGUGUUCGGGUUGUGUCGCCAGACGCAUUGCCCGGUAGCUAAGUUCGGAAUCGAUAACCGCUGAAAGCAUCUAAGCGGGAAGCGAGCCCUGAGAUGAGUCUUCCCUGAUACUUUAAGUAUCCUAAAGGGUUGUCGGAGACUACGACGUUGAUAGGUCAGGUGUGUAAGUGCUGUGAGGCAUUGAGCUAACUGAUACUAAUUGCCCGUGAGGCUUAACCAUACAACACCCAAGGGGUUU
rnacentral:rRNA from 1 species